UACGAAGGGGGCUAGCGUUGCUCGGAAUUACUGGGCGUAAAGGGCGCGUAGGCGGAUAGUUUAGUCAGAGGUGAAAGCCCAGGGCUCAACCUUGGAACUGCCUUUGAUACUGGCCAUCUUGAGUUCGGGAGAGGUGAGUGGAAUGCCGAGUGUAGAGGUGAAAUUCGUAGAUAUUCGGCGGAACACCAGUGGCGAAGGCGACUCACUGGCCCGAUACUGACGCUGAGGCGCGAAAGCGUGGGGAGCAAACAGG
rnacentral:rRNA from 1 species